GUGUUGUGGUGAUCAUGCUGAUAUAAAUCGUCAUAGUCAUAGUCAUCAUGGAUGUUGCCGCCACAGUGGUAAUACUAGUUUUCAACAUGCUAUUCCAUCAGCUCCUCCUUUGCCUUUUGAGUAUUCUCAGACACCACCAUCUCCACAAUCGUCAUCAUCGCCAUCAAUGCCUAUCACCUAUCAUAGUGUCUUCAGCGACGAGAAUGUAACUGGCUGCAUAAUAGUAUGAUAUGGUGCCAUAUAUGUCUUUGUGUGUGUGUGUGUGUGUGUGUGUUUGUGAUGUGAUAGAUCUGUUAGUCAACUUCUCUUGUAACUACUCGGUAAAUUUGCUCAUAGUUGUUUAAAUAUUCUAGUUUUGUAUCUUUUUUUUCAAAGGUACCUAUUACGAUCAGCACCGAAGAAUCUUAGUAGCUCAGUUGGUUGGCUUCCUAAAUGUUCACCUUGCUGGUGUGGGUUCGAUUCUCCAUUUCCCCUUCCCCUGCCCCAAUUUCUCGGUUAUUGAUGGAAAAAAAAAAACUACAACAACAACAACAAAAUAACACUACCCCGUGUAUUCCCACAAAGUGGGGUCUGGGGAGGGUAAAGAGUACGCAGUCCAUACCACUACCUCAGAUGAAGUAGGGAGGUUGUUUCUGAUAGACCCCGGCUUAGGACAGAUAACAAAUAACAAGCAAAAAACAUAAAAGUAAACAACAACAAGGGAUAUCACACUACGAGAUAUUAGAGAAAACAAAACACCCACAAAGUAACAUCAUAAACUAUCUAAACGAAAUCAUGAACAUCACCAAAACACCAUGAACAAAAGGCUACAAGACACUACAGGCACAGAUACAAACAAACAGAGCACUCUUCCCUAUUAUUACGAACGUACUCCUACCUACUACCCCUCUACCUUAAUUUACGUCCUCCACACCUUCCUAUCAAGGGUCAUGUACUCUGUCAGCUGUAACUGCCCCAUAUCUUAGUAGCUGUAAUCUUUUUUCUUCAAAGGUACCUAUUACGAUCCGCACCGGAGAAUCUUAGUAGCUCAGGUGGUUGGCUUCGUAAAUGUUCACCUUGUUGGUGGGUUCAAUUCUCCAUUUCCCCUUCCCCUACCCCUAAUGCAACUUUUUGUUGUUCAAUUUUACUAUAAGUGACUUGUUUAAAGAUUCGACAUCUAUUGAGAUACAUAUCCUUGAUCAGUCCCGUUGAUGUAUAAAAGUUAUUUAUAUGUCAUGUCGUAAAGUCAGAAUAUUAACCUCAGAAGAUUUAUACCAUGAGCUUCACUAGCCCUCGGCAGAGCUCGUUCACUGAAUCUUGGGCGUCUUUAAGUUUUCAGCAUCUUCUCAAUCAACCUUUAGGUUUCACAGCACGGAUGUCAAUCACUACUUUUAUCAAAAUUCGCUUUGUACUCUGCAGGCAAAAAAAAAAAAAGUGCCACCGUUAAGUGAUGUCUUCAUGAAGUAAAUAGGAUGAAAUGCGUCCACUUUAGACACUACAGAAUACAAAAACUCAAGACAAAGUGACACGCAUCUGUGAUGAUAUAACAUAUGCUCAGCCUAAGCACCAGAAAGUAACAACAGAAAUCAGUUUCCAUAAUGCAAUGCACUUAAGGUUGUGGCUGAAGUUCGCGAUGAGCAACACUGUGUUCAGCAUUUCACACUGUACACAAACAAGAAUGAUUUUACCUUUAAGAGGACUUGAGAAUAAAAGUACGCUCAUCCAACCUGAGGUAAACAAUACUAAAGACAAGCUCCUCUGACAAAUAUUGUUUGUUCUGUCAUAUACUAUCCAACCAACCCCAGCUAACAGAGGCAGAUCUGGAAUUUAAGCGUAACGGUUUUCAAUUCGAGAUUCUAUCACAGGUUCAAUAUCUUUACUCAAACUAUUGUGUUCCGAUGAAGUAACACUAUGUCUGCCCCUGCCUACAAGGCCAUACAGGUGACCAGUGACAUCAAAAAUCCAAUUCAAGAUUCACCCACAGGAAAGGAGCAGUGUCCUUCACUGGCAACUUGCAUCAUAUUCUCGUCUACCAUCUGGACAACGACAUAGUAUCCAUCCUUCAAUUCACGUUGUUUAGUUCAACUUGAAAGCACCUUGUGAAUUUUUCCCGGCAGAUCAAAGCCCCAUAUAUUCUCAGACAUAAAAUUUUCAGCGGAAUUGAGAACAAUAAAUAACAGCGAAACUAAACUUGAGUAAUCAGAAAAUUCUACAACACUAAUGGGGCUUUAGUUAAGCUGGUCCUGAAUUGUACAACUUCUCCAUCCAAUAUUGUGCAUACAACAAAACUACGCCUUCAUCCCAAACAAGUUGGAAUCAGCUAUAUGAAUCUUCAAGUCUUCAUUUACUAUUAUUUUAUUAUGAGGACUACUCAUGGAUUGGAAAAUUUUACAUUGGCUGCCAACCUACGGCAACCCUCCUCCUUUUUCCGGGCUUGGGACCGGCAAUGUGAGCGAGCUAACACUGGCAGAGUUAUGCCUAUAGGAGUACCUCACUGAUAUUCUUCAAAUUUAUAAAGCCCCAUCAAGCAGGAAGAGAACAUGUAAUGAGAGAAGUAAGAACCGCACUGGAAUAAGCGUUGUAUAAGCUAUACUCAGUAAAAUCAAACGUAUUAAGAUUUGUAUAUUAAUAUUGGAACGUUGAAUUGGAAAAAGCAACAGAGGAUUAGGGUAGGAGCACAGCACCCCCAGUUAUCAACCUCUACCUGCACUGACACCACCAUUGUGGUCGAGUGAUAGUACUAGCUCAUCUCCCCUCCUUUGUCAUCUGAUUAGUAUCAGGGGCCACCAUCAUCGUCGCCAAUGCCUCACUCCUAUUACAGUGCCUUAAGCGAAGAGAAUGCAAAUGGCUGCAGAAUCCAGUGAUGCGCGAGUGUGUGUGUUGCGACUGUGUGCGUGUUUGUUUCAUGCCAAAUGAAGUUAAGGUACGAUUGUUACCAAAAGUUAUGGGUAAAUGUAAAUUCACCAUAGACAUUAUGGAAGCACUCAUAAAAAUUUCCAAGCAAAUACAGAAUGGAAUUAGGCAUAAGAACUAUCGGUCAUGGAGUCAAUGUCAAAUUCACUAUGAACAUUAUGGUACUAAAGAAAUAGACAGCAAGAAUAUCGAGAGGAUUUAAUAGACUAAACUACUAUCAAAUUAACCUGAGGGCUGAUCUAUACUUUCAACUAUGCAAUAGGAAGUUGAUCUAAACUAGAAAUUAACAUAUUGUUUUGCUAAUGCAGGAAUGGACUUGGUAAAAAUUAAAGAAAGGCUUGUCUGAUGCACAACGAAGCAUAGUUUCCGCAAAUUCAUACCAUUCUGAUACCAAAGUUAGGGGAAAGGAACAAUAACGAAACAAAAGCUGCCAAAUAUAACAACACUUCAAAGAUCAAUACCGUUUGCAAUUGGGAAAGAGGGAACUCACAACAAAAACAAAGAAAUCCUCAAACAUGCGCACCAGAGUUAACUGAAAAAGGACCAGAAAUUGGGUUUCAAAGAAGCCAUUAAGAUUUACUUGCUUGGAUUGGUUCUUUUUAUGGUCAUGAUCGUAGUAGACAAGGUUAAAAAUAAAUUACUGUAUUAACAAAGCGGCAAUAUUCACACAAUGAACAAACUUCACAAUCAUCAAAAAAGAAAAGGCGCGUUACAACCAAAGUAGUAGUUGUCAUGAGAACGGCGCAGAUUUUACAUGAACUAUUACUGCUAAACUUUUCUUUAUUUCCUCCACCCCUUGUUUAUUCUUUUUACUUUUAUUUGUUGAAAAUUGGACCUUUACCGCAUAGUAUAACAUGAAAUAUACACACAAACAACUGCGCGCGCGCACACACAUACACACAUCAUUGGAUUAUACAUCUAUUCGUGUUCUCGUCGCUUAAGACGCUGUAAUAGGAAGGACGCACUGACAAGUAUGAAGGUGGUGAUGCCGGUGGCUGAAAAUAGUCGGACGGCAAAGGAGGAGCUGAUGGAAUAGUACGAUCACCUGACCAUGGUGGCUGCAUCAUAAGUGCAUGAGGAAUGUAUCCCAUUGGCAGCGGCCGCAGGCAAUGGCAAGAAUAGUUGUUUCUGUUAUCCGCACAAUAAGAACCAGAAUGAGUAUAAUUACCACCGUGGCCACCACAACACGACGAAGAUGCAAAACAAAGUCCACCACCAUGUGGAAGCAUCUCCGGUUGUGUAGCCGGUACAUUAUGGUAACAAUAGUUGUUUCUGUUAUUGGCAUAACAAGAACCAAAUCUAGUAUUACCAUGAUUGCAACCACAACAUGAUGAAGACGCAGAACAAAGUCGACCACCACCACCAUGUGGAAGCACUUUUGAUUGUGUUAUCCCAGUGUUAUUACUUGUUGAUUGUCCUUGGAAAGUCAGCUUGACCUCCACAUUAUGCAAUCUUGGGUUAUCAAAUAGCUUUACCUCCACAAUGUUCGAACCACUCGGUGGAUCAUUCACUUUUAAUUUUUCACAUGGCCAAAGCUCGGCUUCUCUCCCACGCUUCUCAAGCUUGCGUAGGACUUUUUCAGGAUCUACUUUGCCUGAAAUGACUACUUUCCCAAGUUUAUGAUCAAUGUCAACUGAAUCAACACCGUUCACCUCUUUCAGCUGCUUUUUUAGUUCCACUCCACAAUCCUUGCAGUGUACUUUCAUCCUGAGAGCAAUGCUCUUGGAAGAUUUCGACAUUGUUUCCCAAGAUUGCUGAUCAUAGCAAUAGCUAAUCAGACCUGAAAACAUUAUCCUAUAAAAAAACAAAAAAAACUAUCCGCUUUAUCAAAAUCCUCUAUUUUCUUAUCUAAGGACAUCAUAUGAAGCUUAACAAUAAAAUAGAGCACCAUCAUCUGGAUUGUUCCAUAACUGCUAAAAUCAAUUUUGAUAUUCGGUGAAAUGCAUAGCCGACCCUAAGCUUCCAAAAGAUUUCAUGUAGAUACCUCACCUUGGUGUCCAUUGUUGCACAAACUGUGCCUGCUAUGCACAUAUUUAACAGUUCUAAACCAAGAUGUAAGCCCUUGAGGUACAUUAAGGAUUUAAAGUUUGUGGGUGCGGGUUGGGUCAAGAUCUCAGAUCUAAGAUAACUAUAGUAUAAAGCUUAAACAAUGAGGUACAUCUAGGAGCAGCUGGCUUCUGCAAUAACAAGUCAAAAUCAACAAAUAUUUUUUAUCUUCUUUCGAGUAUAUACCACAACAAAAUCAGCAAGUCAUUCUUACAUCCCGCUGGAAAUUUGCUUUUUCGUUUAGUAGCGAACAAAACAAAUCUUGCAGAGUCAUAUUCUUCCAUUCAAAAUAUAAACAUAGACAACAGUUCAUUGAGACCACUAAAAUCUAACAGCAGAAGAGAUUUGUAAACAAAACACAAUAAACUUUCAUUGUCAUCUUAUACUAUGAGUUUCCUAUUCAAAAUAUAAGUAGACACAACAACAAAAUCACUAAAACAUCGGGAUUUUCGAUGGAAGCUCGUCAGAAAUGUUACCGAUGAGCCAAUUUCUAACGGAUUCCAUCAACAAAUUGCCAUCUUUAGGUGUGUACACUAAAAAUAUCUUGCAGAGUCAAAUUCUUCCAUUCAAAUUAUAGCAGAAAUAACAGUUCAUGCGGGAGCUUUAGUUCACAAGGCUUCCCUUUAUCUAAAACUGACAGUAAGGAGAUCUACAAACAAAACAAAAUAAUUUUUUCUAUCAUAUUCUUCUACUCAAAAUAUAAACAGACAUAACAGUUAGAGUAUUUGAGAUCGAUAAACAAAGCAUAAUAAAUUUUCAUUGUCCUGACUCAUAUUAUUGUGUGAGUUCUUCUACCUCAAAAUAUGAGUAGAUAUAACAACAAAAAGAGGCCAGCUCGGUGUAUUGAAGCUCGCGCGGAGUCCAAGAAAGAACAUAAACAUACACCUUAACUUACCAUAUUUACACAAAUUCUUACCCUUAUAAGGUAACUACAAAAAUCUCAACUAAUUAUGCAUUUCGUUGGAUGUAUCGGGAGCUAAUUAUGAAUCUCGCCAGAUCCAAAUCGGCAGCUAAUUAUGUAUCUUUACAAAGGAAAAAAAUUGUAUCUUCGUUAUAUUAUGUGUCCCGACAUAUCAAAAAUUGGAAAAAAAACAAUGUGUGGGGAGCUAAUUAUGUAUCUUUACAAAAGAAAAAAUGUACCAAGAGCUAAUUAUGCAUUUCGUUGGAUUUAUCGGGAGUUAAUUAUGAAUCCCGAUAGAUCCAAAUCGACAGCUAAUUAUGUAUCUCUACAAAAGAAAAAAUUGUAUCUUCGUUGUAUUAUGUACCUCGACAUAUCAAAAAUUGGAAAAAAAAAAUGUGUGGGGAGCUAAUUAUGUAUCUUUACGAAAGAAAAAAUGUAUCAAGAGCUAAUUAUGCAUCCCAACAGACCCAAAAUCGGGAAUUUCAUUAAUUAUGCAAAUUUUUUUUCUGUAAUUAAGCUCGAAACUGUCGGGAUUUAUGUUGUUUGAGCCUUAUUAUACACGGUCUUACCUCAGAUUUAUACAAGAGAUUAUUUCCACGACUUGAACGAGCUAAUUAUGACAAACCCAAAAUGAGGAUUUUCAGUAAUUAUGCAAAAUUUAAGCUCAAAACUAUUGAAAUUUAUCUUGUUUGCCCAUUUAUUGUACACAAUCAUAGCUCACAUUUAUACAAGAGAUUAUUUCUACGGCUUGAACUGAUGGUUUAUAACAACAUAAUCACACUACAGCAAAGUUAGGAAGGUUACCGGAGAAGACUCUUUUGUCUCUAUUGAUAUAUCUAUACACCAAAGCGAAAACUGAGAAUAAAUAAACAAAGGAUCCAUUUAUAUUAUAUAUACUAGUAGUUUUAUGGCCAUAAUGGAUCCUUUGUUUAUAGUAGAAAAAAAAUAAGUAGUUUAAUGUCUCUAUUACUGGGUGUCUGUACCAACAAAACGAAUUCAGUCAUGAUGCAUUACUCUUUUUAAUUUGUUUGGCCAUCACCCCAAUCCAAAAGCCAUUCUUUUUAUUUUAUUCUUUAGAUUAUCAAUAAUCCAUCUAUAUAAUGUAUCCUAGCUAUUCAACAGGACAGUGUCUGCCUGGAUUAAUUGCUUUUUAGGUAUCAUUUUGUUCCACUAUCCCUUAAAUAUAUUUUUAAAAUUUUUUAAUACUCAUUUCCGUGAGGCAUAAUUUGUAAUUACAAAGUUUUUGAGCUAAUUCUUGCCUCUAAGGCAAGACAUCUCAUAAAUAAAAAACUUUUUUUUUAAUAAAUGUAGACGUUGAGAUAAAUUAAAAAUAAAAAAAAAAAAAAAAAAAAAAAAAAAGUAAAAGUUGAGAAAAAAUAAAAAGAACAAAAAAUAAGAGGAAAGAAAAAAAAAUCAAAGUAAAAAUUGAAAAAAAAAAACAAAUUGAGAGGAAAAAAGAAAAAAAAAAUAAGGGUUGAAAAAAUAAAAAAUAAAAAGUGAAAAUAAAAAAUAAAAAUCAAAGUAAAAUUAAAAAGAGAAAAAAAUAAAAGUUGAAAGAUAUAUAAAUAUAGAGUUGUUAUUCAUUAUGAGGAUCAUUUAUGUAAUUUACUCAAUUGGUUAGGAGUAAUUUCGUCCAAAAAAUAUUACUAGUUAAGAGGUAAAGGCUAUUUUAGAGAAACUUUUUUAUUUGAGGCUAAAAUUUGAAAGUCAACCCAAUUUGAGUUUAUUCCUAAAAUUUACCCAAUAUUCAGGUCCAUGCUAGCACGAGCCCAAUAUAUAUUAUUUUUAAUCUCAAUUUAUGUGAUAUAAGUAAAAUUUAGAUAAUUAAUUAUAUUUUUAAUAUAUUUUUAGAUAUUUUAAGUUGUCAACUACUGUAAUUUAUAAUUUUUUUUGGCAUUAUAAUUUAUUAUUUUAAGCCGUUAGCUAUUAUAAUUUAUAACAUUUUUCUUGAUUAAACUUUUGUGAUAUCGAUAGUUAAUUAUAAAAUAGAGAAGCAAUUGGGAAGAGAAAAAAAAAAAGCAAAACUGCAAUUUUGAAACGGCACAUUCAACAUGUUAGCUUUAUGACAUUAAGUAAAAAGUUUAAGGCUAUUAUGGACCUUAAAACUUUUGCAAGAUUAACCUGGCUGAGAAAGUGGUCAUAUUUUGCUUUAUUAUUUGGACCUUACGAAUAACUUCAGAAAUUGCCCAUUCUUUUCUCUUAAAUUUAAGGGUGGGCGGGUUUUGGGUUGACCCGGCCCGGUCUAUUAAAUUUAUCCGGAUUGUGGGUCGGUUCAGUCUAGGUUGUGGUUAAGUGGGUCAGGCCGGUCCCGGGUUCAACAAAAAAAAAUUUCAAACACAACCCUGAUCCGACCGACUUAACUCAGCCCGGUCAAACCCAUUGAAAAAAAAAAGUUUUUUUCAAUAUAUACUAUAUAUACCCAUCUAUAUACAUUUUAAAUACGUUAAACAAUAUAUAUACACUAUACAUAUUUUAUAUACUACAUUAGAGAUUAAAAAAUAUGUAUACAUAUACACAAUUACACAUAUAUACACACCAUUCAAUAUACUAGUUUAACUGCACGUGCCUCGCACGUGUAAGGUUUAAUUAUUUAAAAUUAAAUUAUUUUUUCUAUUGUGGAGAUUUUUAAUGAAGUGCAAAAAGUUUAAAUUACUUUUCAAAACUCCUUCACUUUAAUAUAAUAAUGUAAACAUAAACAUAUAUUUUAGUGUAAGCACAUAUAUAUUUUGACACAAGUUUAGAGUGGUUGAUGGUUAAUCAUUUUUGCAUUUUUCAUGCAGUACCUCUUUCUCUUGCUGUCAUAGGCUAAGAGAAACACAUCAAUUUGAACCAUGCACUGUGGUACGAUAAUUUUUUUAUAUUUAAAAUUUUUCUUUAUUUUUAAAGUCAAAUCUUUACAAAAUCAUUGAUUACAUUCUUAUUACAUACUUAAAACUUUUUAAAAUUUGGAUGAAAUGGAGGCUCGCUUCGAGAAUUUUAUGCGAUAAGAAGGUGUCCCUUAAACUAAAAGGCAAAUUCUAGAGUUGCAGUCCGGCCUACUAUGUUGUAUGGAGCGGAGUGUUGACCGAUUAAUAAUUCGCAUAUCCAAAAGUUGAAGAUGGCGGAAAUGAGGAUGUUGCGUUGGAUGUGUGGAUGCACAAGGGCUGGCAGGGUUAGGAAUGAAAUUAUUCAGGAGAAGGUGGGAGUGGUGUCAGUGGAGGAUAAAAUGCGAAAAGUGAGAUUGAGAUGGUUUGGUCAUGUGAUGAGGAGAGGCACGGAUGCCCCAGUUCGUAGGUGUGAGAGGUUGGCCUUGGAAGGUUUUAAACGGGGUAAGGAUAGGCCGAAGAAAUACUGAAGAGAAGUGAUUAAACGUGACAUGGAGCAGUUACAGUUGAGGACACGACCCUGGAUAGGAAGAUAUGGAGGAAAAACAUUAGGAUAGACGGCUAAGGGUAUGAAUGAGUCGUAGUCAGUAUUUAGGUGAACUUUGGUGUCCUUUGUUUGGCAAUGUACAUAUUUUUGUGGAUGUCGUACCUAUGUUAUUUUAUCGUGUUCUAUGUUUUUUAUGCUUUUGUAUACUGCCUUUUAUCUUGAGCCGGAGGUCUAUCGAAAACAGCCUCUCUACCUUUGUAGAGGUAGUGAUAUGAACUGCACACAUUCUACCCUCCCCAAACCCCACUAUGUGAGAAUAUACUUGGUUUGUUGUUAUUGUAUCUAUAGAAGAUAUAUACACAAAUAUACGCACCAUUCAAUAUAUAUGUACUACUUUAAAUAAAACAUGUAAUACAAUAUAUAUACUACAAUAUAUAUAUAUAUAGUUAUGUACUAAUUUAUAAAACAGAUACAUAUGUAUACGUUAAAUAUACGCAUCUAUAGAAGAUAUAUACAAAAAUAUACAAAGCAUAUGCUACUUAAUAUAAUAAAUAAUAAUACUUGAUAUUAAAUUAAUAAUAUAUUAAAAGUAAGUUUUUAAUUUAAACUAGAAAUUCAAUUUAAAUCAUUAAAUGAAAAAAAUUACAAAGUAAGGACUAAAGAGUGAAUGAAUGUUGAAUUUUAUUGAUUGCAAAAUGAUCUAAAAUUUACAAUUUACAUGAAUGAAAAAAUAUUCAAAUUAUGCAUUAGGGUAUUUAUAAAAAAAAAAUUUGGGGAUUAAAAAAAUAAUUAAAAUAUAUAUAUAUAUAUAUAUAUAUAUAUAUAUAUAAUAAAGGGGCUCAAACUAGCUGUUUGGACCCAAAAACGGCUAUAUAAUCGUUGGGCCAACGAUUAGUUUGGCCCAAAUCUUCAAAUUUUUUUUUAAAAAAGUUAACCGGCCCGGUCUGGACCAAUUUUGAUCCGAACCGGAUUAACCGAGCCCAAAUUCAAAAUUAAAUCAACGCAGGACCGGUAUCCUACAAUCCUUGGGCUGAUUGAGCUGGGUCAGAUCGGCCGGAUCAACCCGGCCCGUUUGACAGACUUGCUUCUAUUACAAACCAACCAUGCCCCAUUUUUGCAAUUGAAUAUGGUGGGACCCAUUAAACUUUCAAAUUGACUCCAAAAUCAGUGCAAUAAUGAUGGCAUACUAUUCUUCCAUACAUACCAUGUAGGGAAUUUGUUGAAUUCAAAGUCCAGUGUGUGUAUUAUAUUAGUCCUGCGAAUGGUGGUGGAUUUUGUGGGGCUUCUUCGUCGUGUUGUGGUGAUCAUGCUGAUAUAAAUCGUCAUAGUCAUAGUCAUCGUGGAUGUUGCUGCCACAGUGGUGAUACUAGUUCUCAACAUGCUAUUCCAUCAGCUCCUCCGUUGCCUUUUGAGCAUUUUCAGGCACCACCAUCUCCACAAUCGUCAUCAUAGCUGUCAAUGCCCAUCACCUAUCAUAGUUUCUUAAGUGACGACAAUGUAAAUGGCUGCAUAAUAGUAUGAUAUGGUGCCAUAUAUGUCUUUGUGUGUGUGUGUUUGUGAUGUGAUAGAUCUGUUAGUC
rnacentral:lncRNA from 1 species